UCAGAUGGGGAUUCUUGUGCAAAAGAUACACGGAGGAAGAGCUCAAGGAAGUAACUUGCAAUGAAGCAAGGGGAGCAAGCUGGAGCAGGAGAAAAGAUCAGGCAAAGGCAUGCUUUCAGAAGUCUAGCCUCGGCCUCAUCCACAGGGAGCUCCAGAGAGUGAAUGGUACCAUGCAGCUGGUCAACCUUCUUGGAGGAGGGAGCUGCUGAUAGCCUUCAGUAGACAGCACUUGCACUAGCCAAGGGAUGAGUGCACCAGCCCAGUGGAGGGGAUCUGGGUAGAGCACCUAUGCCAUCUGCUAUAAUAGGAAGGACAUGCUUUUCCUUUUCGUAUCCUCUACCUGAAGCAAUAUAUCACGUACUCAGCAGACGCUCAAUAAGUGUUUGAGAAAUGAAGAAACAAAAAGACAGAGGGAAGGAGAGAAGAAAAGAAACAAGAUUACAGAAAAUUCUAAAAUACUCUUGGGCUCCAAGAAAUGCAUCUUCAAAUAAGGAACUUCACAUACUUAUGCUGAGCAAUGAGAGAGAUAUUUUGAGAAACCUGAAAAAAUAAGAGAACUUUGAGUUUUCAGUGCUCUGGAAAUGGCAAAAAGACCACUCUGGUAACUGAAUUGAAAAUAGGCUAAAGGAGGACAAGAGCAGAAGGGAGGAAAGAAUUGCAAUAAACCAGGCAAGAGAUGGCAGUGAAUAAAGAGGUGAUGCUAAUAUUGCUGAUUUGAUGACCACAGUUGAGAAGGAAGACUUCUUGAACUUGCUGAUAGGUUGCAUUUGGAAAGCAUAAAAAGAAAAGAAUCAA
ensembl:lncRNA novel transcript